AGCCCGCGGCGCCAUGGCUCACGUCGGCUCCCGCAAGCGCUCGAGGAGUCGCAGCCGGUCCCGGGGACGGGGGUCGGAAAAGAGAAAGAAGAAGAGCAGGAAAGACACCUCGAGGAACUGCUCGGCCUCCACAUCCCAAGGUCGCAAGGCCAGCACGGCCCCUGGGGCGGAGGCCUCACCUUCUCCCUGCAUCACAGAGAGAAGCAAGCAGAAGGCCCGGAGGAGAACAAGAUCCAGCUCCUCCUCCUCUUCUUCCAGUUCUUCUAGCUCCUCUUCUUCCUCCUCGUCCUCCUCCUCUUCCUCCAGUGAUGGCCGGAAGAAGCGGGGGAAGUACAAGGACAAGAGGAGGAAGAAGAAGAAGAAGAGGAAGAAGCUGAAGAAGAAGGGCAAGGAGAAGGCGGAAGCACAGCAGGUGGAGGCUCUGCCGGGCCCCUCGCUGGACCAGUGGCACCGAUCAGCUGGGGAGGAAGAGGAUGGCCCAGGUACUUCCUGACGGAUGAGCAGAAGUCCCGAAUCCAGGCCAUGAAGCCCAUGACCAAGGAGGAGUGGGAUGCCCGGCAGAGCAUCAUCCGCAAGGUGGUGGACCCUGAGACGGGGCGCACCAGGCUUAUUAAGGGAGAUGGCGAGGUCCUAGAGGAAAUCGUAACCAAAGAACGACACAGAGAGAUCAACAAGCAAGCCACCCGAGGGGACUGCCUGGCCUUCCAGAUGCGAGCUGGGUUGCUUCCCUGAGGGCCCCCGCUGGCCAAGGCCUGUGGACGACGCUGGCGGCCCAGCCUGGGCAGGUUUCAGGGUGCCAGUGGGAAGCCUGAUGGGUGCUGGUGGCCUUUCCCCCGUGGAUUGGUCUCUGGCCCAGCCCAGUCUCUUCUCAGGGGCAGGGGGUGGAGGUUGGGGUCACCGGCCUGCUUGGCACCCCCAUCUGAAAGAGCAGCACUUCUCAGCUAUUAAAGGCCCCCUGGAUAGAC
rnacentral:lncRNA from 1 species